UCAGUCGACUCCUACGGGGAGGCAGCAGUCGGGGAAUAUUGCACAAUGGGGGAAACCCUGAUGCAGCCAUGCCGCGUGUGUGAAGAAGGCCUUCGGGUGUUAAAGCACUUUCAGUAGGGAGGAAGGUAGUGUAGUUAACACCUGCAUUAUUUGACGUUACCUACAGAAGAAGCACCGGCUAACUCCGUGCCAGCAGCCGCGGUAAUACGGAGGGUGCGAGCGUUAAUCGGAAUUACUGGGCGUAAAGCGCAUGCAGGCGGCCUGUUAAGUCAGAUGUGAAAGCCCGGGGCUUAACCUCGGAAUUGCAUUUGAAACUGGCAGGCUAGAGUCUUGUAGAGGGGGGUAGGAAUUUCAGGUGUAGCGGUGAAAUGCGUAGAGAUCUGAAGGAAUACCAGUGGCGAAGGCGGCCCCCUGGACAAAGACUGACGCUCAGAUGCGAAAGCGUGGGGAGCAAACAGGAUUAGAUACCCUGGUAG
rnacentral:rRNA from 1 species